AAUGUGUUCCCAUCUCAACCCAUUACUCAGACAAGCAUACUACCCUGAGGCAAAAACUUUACGAAAUUAAACGUUCCUUUUAACCUGCACUCCUGUUUCUACGUUCUUUUCUAUUUCCUUUUUUAAAAAAAAAUUCUGGUUGGGCGCGGUGGCUCACGCCUGUAAUUCCAGAACUUUGGGAGGCCAAGACAGGCGGAUCACUUGAGGCCAGGAGUUCAAGACCAGCCUGGGCAUCAUGGCAAAACCCUAUCUCUACUAAAAAUACAAAAAAAAAAAAAAAAUAGCCAGAUGUGGUGGCAGGUGCCUGUAACGCCAGCUACUUGACAGGCCGAGGUAGGAGAAUCGUUUGAACCCAGGAGGUGGAGGUUGCAGUGAGCCGAGAUUGUGCCACUGCACUCCAGCCUGGGCAGAGUAGUAGAAUGAGACUGUCUCUAAAACAAACAAACGAGUAUGACUAUGAUCCCUUAAAUUGAUUUCAUGGCCCACGAAUGGAUCUCAACCUACAAUCGGAAAAAUCCACUGCUCUGGAGGAGUUGAUUCCGUACUCUGCUGGAUCUUCAAUCCCUGCCCGCUGGAAAUUGGCUGCAAUUUUCCUGGUGCUGCGAUCCUGGCAUGCUGUGUAGCUGCAGCCCAGGAAGAAAAGCCAGUGUGACCCAGGAGUUAAAGCCCUCAAGACAGCUCGAAGCUGGGUGAAUUCCAUCCAGCUCCAUGGCUAAUAGCUAGCUGCGUGACCUUGUGCCAAAUUCCUUCACCUGCCCACACCUUCACCUCCCUGUCUGUACAAGGACAUAAUUGUACCCUGA
rnacentral:lncRNA from 1 species